AACGAACGCUGGCGGCAGGCCUAACACAUGCAAGUCGAGCGAGGACUUCGGUCCUAGCGGCGGACGGGUGAGUAACGCGUGGGAACGUGCCCUUUGCUACGGAAUAGCCCCGGGAAACUGGGAGUAAUACCGUAUGUGCCCGAGAGGGGAAAGAUUUAUUGGCAAAGGAUCGGCCCGCGUUGGAUUAGGUAGUUGGUGGGGUAACGGCCUACCAAGCCGACGAUCCAUAGCUGGUUUGAGAGGAUGAUCAGCCACACUGGGACUGAGACACGGCCCAGACUCCUACGGGAGGCAGCAGUGGGGAAUCUUAGACAAUGGGGGAAACCCUGAUCUAGCCAUGCCGCGUGAGCGAUGAAGGCCUUAGGGUUGUAAAGCUCUUUCAGUGGGGAAGAUAAUGACGGUACCCACAGAAGAAGCCCCGGCUAACUCCGUGCCAGCCGCCGCGGUAACAC
rnacentral:rRNA from 1 species